rnacentral:rRNA from 1 species
CUCCCANGUCAUGNNUNCAACGGGUGAGUAACGCGUGGAUGACCUGCCCUUUAGUGGGGAACAACCAGGGGAAACUCUGGCUAAUACCGCAUAAGACCGAAAGGUGAAAGGGGGCCGCAAGGCUCUCGCUGAAGGAGGGGUCCGCGUCCGAUUAGCUAGUUGGUAGGGUAAUGGCCUACCAAGGCGACGAUCGGUAGCCGGCCUGAGAGGGUGAUCGGCCACACUGGAACUGAGACACGGUCCAGACUCCUACGGGAGGCAGCAGUGGGGAAUUUUGCGCAAUGGGCAAACGCCUGACGCAGCAACGCCGCGUGGAGGAUGAAGGUCUUUGGAUUGUAAACUCCUGUCAGCGGGGAAAAAGGGACCUGGGCUAAUACCCUAGGGACUUGAUUGUACCCGCAGAGGAAGCCCCGGCUAACUCUGUGCCCAGCAGCCGCGGUAAUACAGAGGGGGCAAGCGUUAUUCGGAAUUAUUGGGCGUAAAGGGCGCGUAGGCGGCUUUGCAAGUGGCGGGUGAAAUCCCCUCGGCUUACCGAAGAACUGCCUGCCAACUGUGAGGCUUGAAACGGGAAACGUGAGUGGANUNCCAGUGUAGCGGUGAAUGCCUUAAUAUUGGGAGAACACCCAUUGGCAAAGGGGCUCCCUGGACCGAAACUGACCUUAAGCCCAAAGCU